rnacentral:lncRNA from 12 species
GCAAAAUAAACCCCCGCACGGUCGAGCUGUACGUCAGCGCGGCCUGCCGCUCUGCGCGCCGCCAAUUGGCUGCUCCGGCUCCCGCAUUCCACCAAUGGGCGGGCGGCUCUUUGCGCAGAGCGGUGAUGUCAUCGCUGCCGCGGGGUGCGGCGCGCAGGGCGGGCGCCAGGGGGCGCUGUCCGUGCCGCCCCUCAGGGCGGGACCCUCGGGCGGAUCCGCGCUGCCCCUUCCCGGCCCUCUCCGCUCCCUUUCCCGCUCCGCUUCCCGGCCCUUCCCGCACUCCCCCCGGCCCCUCGGCACCCCAGCACCUUUCCCCCAGCCAAACAUGCGCCUGGUUCGCCGGCGGUAACGCGCAGAGCGUUGGGGAGUGGAGAGAGCAUCCUCCCCGUGGCUCCCCAUCCACCAUGGACAUGGAGUUUCCUGUGGGAAUGAUCCCUCAAAAACCUCCUUGUGGUGGCACGUGGGCAGGCGGCAGCAGCAGCGGGGAGCAGCGCUUUGUGGCAGCUGGUCACACAAUCACUGAGACUCUGCUAGAUAAUGCCUUGGGCUUGGUAUUGCAUUGGGAAACUCAUCCAGGAGCAGCUGGAUCCAUCCCUUCUCCCUCAGUCAGCAUAAAAGGAAAGCACCUGAGAUGUUCCAGCAGAGCAGUGCUGGAGAAAAUCCCUUUGUCCAGCAGGCAGACAACCAGCACUGGAGUCAGGACAAGUAAAAUGUCUGCAGAACAGAAGCAUUCUGAGUAGUGAAAGAGGUCCCUGGGUAGUAUUCAAAGGAGAGCAUGUGGUCAAAUUGAACUUGGAAAUAUUUACCAGAGCAAAAGCAAAUCCUGGGCUGCAUCUCCCAAUUACCUGACGUUUUUGAUGUUGGUGACUUUAUUGCUAAGGCCAUGUCUUU